rnacentral:misc_RNA from 1 species
AUCUUUAACCUCUAAAUCUCAGACAUUAAACACAUAAAUUCAUCUGAUCAGCUGAGAACCAACUACAUAUAAAAAAUUUAAACAUUUUUAACCAACAAUUAUAUGUAUAGCUAUCCUUGUAAACCAACAUUUAAAUACAGUCUGAAAAGCAAGGCAGGGGGUAUGGUAUUAAAAGUAACUCAUUGAAUUGUUUUCCGUUCAUAUCUUCUAACUAUUAUCAAGAUCAGGAUCCAAGUAAAAAAAUUCUUCACCAAUACAAUAAACUAGUUAUAAUACAAAUAUAAAGUGAAAUAG